rnacentral:rRNA from 1 species
AGCGGAUGGCGGAGCUACCAUGCAGUCGAGCGGUAACAUAUAGAGCUUGCUACUUUGCUGACGAGCGGCGGACGGGUGAGUAGUGCUUGGGAACGUGCCUUGGGGGGGGGGACAACAGUUGGAAACCACUGCUAAUACCGCAUAGUGUCUACAGACCAAGGGGGUCUUCCUCUCUCCCCUUUAUAUUGGCCCAAGUGGGAUUAUCUAUUUGGUGAGGUAGUGGCUCCCCAGGGCCACUAUCCCUAUGUGGUUUGAGAGGAUGAUCCCCCACUGUGGGACUGACACACGGCCCACACUCCUACGGGAGGCAGCAGUGGGGAAUAUUGCACAGUGGGCGCACCCCUGAUGCACCCAUGCCGUGUGUGUGAAGAACGCCUUCGGGUUGUAAAGCUCUUUCACUCAAGAAGAAAGGUUAAUAGUUAAUACCUGCUAUCUGUGACGUUACUGACAAAAAAAGCACCGUCUAUCUCCGUGCCAACACCCGCGGUAAUACAGAGGGUGAGAGCGUUAAUCAGAAUUACUGGGCGUAAAGCGCACACACGCGUUUUGUUAAGAGAGAUGUGAAACCCCCGCGCUCCACCUGAGAACUGCUUUUCAAACUGGCAAACUAGAGUGUGAUAGAGGGUGGUAGAAUUUCGUGUGUAGCGGUGAUAUGCAUAGAGAUCUAAAAGAAUACCGAUGGAGAACGCACCCCCGUGUGUCAACUCUGACUCUCAUGUACAAGAGCGUGGAGAGCACACAAGAUUAUAUACCCUGGGUCACA